rnacentral:snRNA from 1 species
AUACUUAUUUGGCAAGGGGAGAUGCUAUGAUAAUGAAGUUUAUGUUCCCAAGGGAGGCUUAUCCAUACCACUCUAGAUGUGCUGAUCCCUGCAAUUUCCUAAAAUGUGGGAAAUUGGGCUGCAUUUUUUUUUUUUGGUCUUUUUGAGACAG